UUCUGAGCUCGUCCGCACCAGUCACGUUGCAUCAUGGGAUUAUUUGACUUGCGUAGCAGUACGCCAUCCGGGUAUUUCUCGCCUACUGAGAAUUCGGAUACACUACACCUCUGACAUGGCCACUAUAUAGUAGAGCUGGGCAGUUUUCAUCAGACUUCUUCACAGAUCCAAACGUUUUGCCUCUUCUUAUGGCUGGUCGACACACUGGUUUCCCUCAUUGGACUUUGUAAUUUACAGGUUUCCCUUUGACAGUUUUUUCCUCUUAAAAUGUUAACACACUGUUAAAAAAAAAUGUACAGUGUACAGUGCCCUCCACUAAUAUUGGCACCCUUGGUAAAUAUGAACAAAGAA